rnacentral:rRNA from 1 species
CCUGGCAGUCAGAGGCGAUGAAGGGCGUGCUAAUCUGCGAUAAGCGCCGGUAAGGUGAUAUGAACCGUUAUAACCGGCGAUACCCGAAUGGGGAAACCCAGUGUGACUCGUCACACUAUCAUUAACUGAAUCCAUAGGUUAAUGAGGCGAACCGGGGGAACUGAAACAUCUAAGUACCCCGAGGAAAAGAAAUCAACCGAGAUUCCCCCAGUAGCGGCGAGCGAACGGGGAGGAGCCCAGAGCCUGAAUCAGCAUGUGUGUUAGUGGAAGCGUCUGGAAAGGCGCGCGAUACAGGGUGACAGCCCCGUACACAAAAGCGCAUGUGCUGUGAGCUCGAUGAGUAGGGCGGGACACGUGGUAUCCUGUCUGAAUAUGGGGGGACCAUCCUCCAAGGCUAAAUACUCCUGACUGACCGAUAGUGAACCAGUACCGUGAGGGAAAGGCGAAAAGAACCCCGGCGAGGGGAGUGAAAAAGAACCUGAAACCGUGUACGUACAAGCAGUGGGAGCACCCUUUGGGUGUGACUGCGUACCUUUUGUAUAAUGGGUCAGCGACUUAUAUUCUGUAGCAAGGUUAACCGAAUAGGGGAGCCGGAGGGAAACCGAGUCUUAAUUGGGCGUUAAGUUGCAGGGUAUAGACCCGAAACCCGGUGAUCUAGCCAUGGGCAGGUUGAAGGUUGGGUAACACUAACUGGAGGACCGAACCGACUAAUGUUGAAAAAUUAGCGGAUGACCUGUGGCUGGGGGUGAAAGGCCAAUCAAACCGGGAGAUAGCUGGUUCUCCCCGAAAGCUAUUUAGGUAGCGCCUCGUGAAUUCAUCUCCGGGGGUAGAGCACUGUUUCGGCUAGGGGGCCAUCCCGGCUUACCAACCCGAUGCAAACUGCGAAUACCGGAGAAUGUUAUCACGGGAGACACACGGCGGGUGCUAACGUCCGUCGUGAAGAGGGAAACAACCCAGACCGCCAGCUAAGGUCCCAAAGUCAUGGUUAAGUGGGAAACGAUGUGGGAAGGCCCAGACAGCCAGGAUGUUGGCUUAGAAGCAGCCAUCAUUUAAAGAAAGCGUAAUAGCUCACUGGUCGAGUCGGCCUGCGCGGAAGAUGUAACGGGGCUAAACCAUGCACCGAAGCUGCGGCAGCGACACUGUGUGUUGUUGGGUAGGGGAGCGUUCUGUAAGCCUGUGAAGGUGUGUCGUGAGGCAUGCUGGAGGUAUCAGAAGUGCGAAUGCUGACAUAAGUAACGAUAAAGCGGGUGAAAAGCCCGCUCGCCGGAAGACCAAGGGUUCCUGUCCAACGUUAAUCGGGGCAGGGUGAGUCGACCCCUAAGGCGAGGCCGAAAGGCGUAGUCGAUGGGAAACGGGUUAAUAUUCCCGUACUUGGUGUUACUGCGAAGGGGGGACGGAGAAGGCUAUGUUGGCCGGGCGACGGUUGUCCCGGUUUAAGCGUGUAGGUGUGUGUUCCAGGUAAAUCCGGUUCACUUUAACACUGAGGCGUGACGACGAGGCACUACGGUGCUGAAGCAACAAAUGCCCUGCUUCCAGGAAAAGCCUCUAAGCAUCAGGUAACAUCAAAUCGUACCCCAAACCGACACAGGUGGUCAGGUAGAGAAUACCAAGGCGCUUGAGAGAACUCGGGUGAAGGAACUAGGCAAAAUGGUGCCGUAACUUCGGGAGAAGGCACGCUGACACGUAGGUGAAGUGAUUUACUCAUGGAGCUGAAGUCAGUCGAAGAUACCAGCUGGCUGCAACUGUUUAUUAAAAACACAGCACUGUGCAAACACGAAAGUGGACGUAUACGGUGUGACGCCUGCCCGGUGCCGGAAGGUUAAUUGAUGGGGUCAGCGCAAGCGAAGCUCCUGAUCGAAGCCCCGGUAAACGGCGGCCGUAACUAUAACGGUCCUAAGGUAGCGAAAUUCCUUGUCGGGUAAGUUCCGACCUGCACGAAUGGCGUAAUGAUGGCCAGGCUGUCUCCACCCGAGACUCAGUGAAAUUGAACUCGCUGUGAAGAUGCAGUGUACCCGCGGCAAGACGGAAAGACCCCGUGAACCUUUACUAUAGCUUGACACUGAACAUUGAGCCUUGAUGUGUAGGAUAGGUGGGAGGCUUUGAAGUGUGGACGCCAGUCUGCAUGGAGCCGACCUUGAAAUACCACCCUUUAAUGUUUGAUGUUCUAACGUGGACCCGUUACCCGGGUUGCGGACAGUGUCUGGUGGGUAGUUUGACUGGGGCGGUCUCCUCCUAAAGAGUAACGGAGGAGCACGAAGGUUGGCUAAUCCUGGUCGGACAUCAGGAGGUUAGUGCAAUGGCAUAAGCCAGCUUGACUGCGAGCGUGACGGCGCGAGCAGGUGCGAAAGCAGGUCAUAGUGAUCCGGUGGUUCUGAAUGGAAGGGCCAUCGCUCAACGGAUAAAAGGUACUCCGGGGAUAACAGGCUGAUACCGCCCAAGAGUUCAUAUCGACGGCGGUGUUUGGCACCUCGAUGUCGGCUCAUCACAUCCUGGGGCUGAAGUAGGUCCCAAGGGUAUGGCUGUUCGCCAUUUAAAGUGGUACGCGAGCUGGGUUUAGAACGUCGUGAGACAGUUCGGUCCCUAUCUGCCGUGGGCGCUGGAGAACUGAGGGGGGCUGCUCCUAGUACGAGAGGACCGGAGUGGACGCAUCACUGGUGUUCGGGUUGUCAUGCCAAUGGCACUGCCCGGUAGCUAAAUGCGGAAGAGAUAAGUGCUGAAAGCAUCUAAGCACGAAACUUGCCCCGAGAUGAGUUCUCCCUGAGACUUAAAGUCUCCUGAAGGAACGUUGAAGACGACGACGUUGAUAGGCCGGGUGUGUAAGCGCAGCGAUGCGUUGAGCUAACCGGUACUAAUGAACCGUGAGGCUUAACCUUACAACGCCGAAG